rnacentral:rRNA from 1 species
AUCAGCCUUUCGGGUGCGAUUCUGUGGGGUUUGAGGAGCUUAACACCUUCAUGCUUUGCAUAUUCGUGCUCUUGGGUGUACUUGCCCGUGUGGUUGGUUAACAUCAAUUUUGGUGGUCAUAAAAUGACUGGAGGAAUGUAGCUUCGAUCUUGUAUUGAAGUGUUAUAGCCUUCGGUAGAUGUGAUGAUCGAGAUUGAGGAUUGCAACGGAUACCCUUCGGGGCUACCUGUCUGAUCUCUGAUCGUUGCUCUGGUGCCGAAAGCUUGCUUACGGUUAUCAAAGUCGAUGGUCAAUAGGUUAGAACGGGUUAAAUUCGUUAGGGAUGUUGACGUAAUGGCUUU